UGAAGUCUUUGUAUUUUAGGGGUUUUAGUUCUAGGUAGGAAAAGUAAUUUUUUAGUUUUUUUUUGUAUUAUAGAUUUUUGAAGCAGGUAUUAUUGAGGAGCAGUUUUGGAGGCAAAAAAUUUUUUUAAUAGUAAUAUGUAGGUAUGUACCUUUGGUAUCAGGGUGUGUUAACAUUUUUAAUGUAUUUUUAUAUCCCGAAAGAGAAUGAGUUACAUAGUUAGUCUUUUAUUGUGGUAGAAAUAGGAGUAAUAGCUAUAGUAGUAGUGAGAUGCUAUCCGUAUUUUUAGAUAUCUGGGUUCCUAGAAAUCAUGGAGAUGGCCAUCAGUUUAUUUGUUAAGCUGGUAGGAASGUUGUUAGGGCUAAGCUUAACAUUCUAUUUCUAUAUUAGUAUUUAGUUGAAGUUAAAUUAGGCUUAAAAGUAGCUAUGUGUUUUAUAACAUAUUUUUGUUUUGUGCUAUUAGUAAGGUAUAUAGGGGUUUUUAUAACUUGUUAUAGAGAGUAACAAUGAUAUAAUUAGUAGAGUUAGUUUUAGGUUUUUAGUUUAAGUACAUAUAUUGAUGUAUAGAUUUUUAGGGUAUUUAAAAGGAACUCGGCAAAAUGAUUUUUUAACUGUUUAUCAAAAACAUUUCCUUAAGGGUGUAUUUAAGGUAAGUUCUGC
rnacentral:rRNA from 1 species